rnacentral:lncRNA from 1 species
UAGGUGAAGAAGCCCAUCAGAGAAGGCUGGAUACUGUGUGAUUCCAACUCCAUGACAUUCAGGAAAAGGCAAAACCAUGAAAACAAGAAAGAUCAGCGGCUGCUGGGACUGGGCAGAGGGUAUACUGAAUUCCUUGAAACCUUGACCGCCAAGAUGCUAACUCAGGUGGGAGGAAUUCAAGACAAGGAAGGAGCCUCUUUUGGGUUCUGGUUCCGGUCCCGCUACUGAAAACCCCUGAUACGGUUCAAGGAGUGCAACAGCGCUGGUUUCAAAUCCAGGUUUGCAGCCCGGUCUGGCGUGGAGAGGUUUUACUCUUGGGAGGCCCAGGAGAGGCAGAGGCUCUGGGCCGGGGAGGGCUGGUGUCCACGGCACUCCCCGUUCCGGGCUCCAGGUGUAUUGGGGGAGUGUGGCCACUCAAAGGAGAGAGCCUCAGAAGGAGGGCACUGGGGACCCAGGUCCUGCUGAACCCAAAGAAAUGAGCCGUUAAAAAGGAGAGAAAUGUGUGCGGAAGCCCGGAGCUCCACGGGCAGGG